AAAAGUGGGCCCAGGUGACUCGCGCUCAGCAUACAGAGGACCCAUGCCGGCACCGGUCUCUGAGUUCCCUCAGUAUUUAUUGAUCAUUAUCUCUACCAUCUUAGAAAAAUGGAAGUGGCAGGAUAAUAGCAUCAUCAUAGGGAGAAGGUCAGCAGUAAGACAUGUGUAUAAAGAUCUCUGUGACAUUAAAAGUUUCAGGAAAAGUGCUGUGACUUGAUAGGCAUAUGCAAACAUCUCCAUAAACCUUUCUAAUGCAUAAAGAGCAGCAUUGCGCUAGCACGUCCCACCUUCAGCCCUACGGCGGUUUUCUCUUUUCUCAGUAAACAGAACAUACACUGAGAUGUUCCAUUGCCCAGGACAGGCAGGAGACAGAUGCUUUUCUCUAUUUCAACUGUCCAGAGGCCUUCUUUCCUCUUAUACUAGUCCUCCUCAGCACAGACCCUUCAUGGGUGUCAGGCUGGGGGAUGACCAGGUCUUUCCCUUCCCACGAGGCCAUAUUUCAGACUAUCACAUGGGGAGAAACCUUGGACAAUACCUAGCUUUCCUAGGCAGAGGUCCCUGCGACCUUUGGCAGUGUACGUGUCCCUGGGUACUUGAGAUUAAGAGAAUGGCGAUGACUUUUCACAAGCAUACUGCCUUCAGGCACUUGUUUAACAAAGCACACCCUGCACAGCCCAAAAUCCGUUAAACCUUGAGUCACCACAGCACAUGUCUCUUGCAAGGACAAGGUUGGGGGUAGGGUCACAGAUUAACAGCAUCUCAAAUAUAGAACAAAAUGGAGUCUCUUAUAUCUACUUCUUUCUAUAUAGACACAGUAACAGGCUGAUCUUUCUUUUCCCCACAGGAUGGCGCUUCUGGGAGUGGCGUGGGUAGAGAGUUCAUGGAAGGGGUGGGAUUUCCUCACUCUUGGGUCUUCAUCCUUGAGCACAGGCCCAGCUGCCACUCUAGUGGCCGCCACGGGCAGCCUCGAUGCUGAGAUGGGCUCAAAAGCCAGGCUGUGUGGUAUGGGGUCUCAGAGCCCAGGCAGGGCCAGGGUGGCAGCCAAAUGGCCUGCAACCUGAUCCUGAGCUGCUUGUGCCCUAGCCCUCACAGUAGCUCUCCAGGGGCCACUGCACCCCAUCCUGGGAGCUGACCCCAAGCAGGUCAGGGCAGUGCUGCCCGCUGGGUCCUAGGGGUGACUGGAGCAUCUUGCUCACACCAGCAGGACACUCAUGCCUUCCCCAUCUGAGCCUGCUGCAGGCAGAGCCUGGCCAGGGGCUGGCCGAGUUGGGGAGGAGGCAGGAGGGCCAUAGCCAUGGUGGUUAGAGACAGGAGCAGUGUUGAUACCCUUUCUCUCAAAUAAAAUGAAGCCCCCUGCCAGGGAGGCCACUGCAGAGCUGGCACGAUGGAGGCGUCCUGUCUGAAGGAGCUGGUGUAGACACACUGGUGGGGCACCCGGCAGAACAGCAGCAGCGGAUCUGCAACCACACGAACUGGCUGCCUGUUCUCUACAGAGUCCAAGUGCGAACUCUGGGCUGGGAAUGCUAAGGAGGCGAGUGUGGGGAAAAUUCUCAGUUCUGCAGGGUGCCUUGCCCUGAGUCCUGACCCUUUGUGCUUGAGAGCGGUGGACAAAUAUGUUGGAAGUUCUUUUAUUUUUUCUUUAUUGGUUUUUUUUUGAGAUGGAGUUUUGUUCUUGUCGCCCAGGCUGGAGUGCAGUGGCGUGAUCCCAGCUCACUUCAACCUCGGCCUUCCGGGUUCAAGCAAUUCUCCUGCCUCAGCCUCCUGAGUAGCUGGGACUACAGGCAUGUGCCACCACGCUCAGUUAAUUUUGGACUUUUAGUAGACACGAUGUUUCACACCACCACAUCCAGCUAAUUCUGUAUUUUUAGUAGACGCGGGGUUUCACCAUGUUGGCCAGGUUGGUCUUGAACUCCUGACCUCAGGUCAUCUGCCUGCCUUGGCCUCCCAAAGUACUGAGAUUACAGGUGUGAGUCACUGCGUUCGGCCAUAUAUUGGAAUUUCUAGGGAAGACAGGGAAAGGAUUUGGGGAAAGCGACGGACUUUUAGUCGUGAGGCAUCCAGGGUGUGAUAUUUGUGCCAGAGCCAGAGAUAAGACAACAAAGAUGGCCG
ensembl:lncRNA